rnacentral:lncRNA from 1 species
UGCCCUUUCUCACCCCCAGCCCGCUCUCUGUCUCUGGGCAGCGUAAGGACUUUCGGGGCUAGGCUGUACCCAGAACCCCCACCCCCACCCCACCUGGAGCCGCAGCAGUGGGUGCAGCUGAUCCCCAGUCUGUAACUGCCUUGUUGCACUGCUGGGCUUGCUAAGUAUGAACGAGGAACCUGGGAGCCCCCCGAAUCAGAAACUUAGCAAGCAGCGCGUCCUACUGGGGCAGAAGCAGAAAAAGAAGCGCCAGGAGCCCCUGGCAGAAGCCAAGCCAAAGAAACCCAAAGCAAAGAAGUCCGGGGAGCAGAGUCCUGUGAAGGAGCCCAGCGCCCCUGCCCAGAACUGGGUUUUGCGAGCACCAGAGCAAGGUCCGAAGUGGGUCCCAACAUGAGCAUGGCCUGUGCCGAAGAGGGCAGCGAGGCACAGACAUAUGCAUACUCGAGGCCCUGUGGAUGUGAGGUGCCCUCUGUAUCUG